CGAGUUAAUUAUAAACUCCAAACCCAUGUGAACUUACCUAUUGUUGCCUCGGUAGGCUGUGCUGUACGGUAUGGAAAGCUACCCUGGAGCUGACCUACCCUAAAUAGGAGUUGCCCUAGAGUGGAGUCUAACUUGCACCCUAGAGAGAAGCCACCUUAGGGAAUGGAAAGCCAUUUAUGGAUGAGCACCUAUGCCCUACAGUACGCUAUAAAGCCUGCCGAAGGACCCUUAAACUCUGUUUUAUAAUGUAUCUCUGAGUGAAUUAUAUAAAUAAGUUAAAACUUUCAACAACGGAUCUCUUGGUUCUGGCAUCGAUGAAGAACGCAGCGAAAUGCGAUAAGUAAUGUGAAUUGCAGAAUUCAGUGAAUCAUCGAAUUUUGAACGCACAUUGCGCCUAAUAGUAUUCUGUUAGGCAUGCCUGUUCGAGCGUCAUUUCAACCUUCAAGCCCUAUUUGCUUGACGUUGGGAGUUUACAGCUGCUGUAAUUCCUUAAAUUUAGUGGCGGAGCUAGGUCAUGCUCUGAGCGUAGUAAUUCUUUUUUCUCGCUCUUGAUGCUGCCCUGUAUCUUGCCGUAAAACCCCCUAAAUUUUAUUCUGGUUGACCUCGGAUCAGGUAGGAAUACCCGCUGAACUUAAGCAUAUCAAUAAGCGGAGGAAAAGAAACCAACAGGGAUUGCCCUAGUAACGGCGAGUGAAGCGGCAACAGCUCAAAUUUGAAAUCUGGCCUUCGGGUCCGAAUUGUAAUUUGCAGAGGAUGCUUUUGGCGAGGUGCCUUCCGAGUUCCCUGGAACGGGACGCCUUAGAGGGUGAGAGCCCCGUACGGUUGGACACUAAGCCUCUGUAAAGCUCCUUCGACGAGUCGAGUAGUUUGGGAAUGCUGCUCUAAAUGGGAGGUAAAUUUCUUCUAAAGCUAAAUACCGGCCAGAGACCGAUAGCGCACAAGUAGAGUGAUCGAAAGAUGAAAAGCACUUUGAAAAGAGGGUUAAAUAGCACGUGAAAUUGUUGAAAGGGAAGCGUUUACGGCCAGACCUUUUCCUAGCGGAUCAUCUAGUGUUCUCACUGGUGCACUUCGUUAGGUUUAGGCCAGCAUCGGCUUCUGUAGAGGGAUAAAAGCAGUGGGAAAGUAGCUCUCUCGGGAGUGUUAUAGCCCUAAGCAUAAUACCUUUACGGGGGCCGAGGACCGCGC
rnacentral:rRNA from 1 species